AGAGUUUGAUCCUGGCUCAGAUUGAACGCUGGCGGAAUGCUUUACACAUGCAAGUCGAACGGCAGCACGGGAGCUUGCUCCUGGUGGCGAGUGGCGAACGGGUGAGUAACACAUCGGAACAUGCCUAGUCGUGGGGGAUACCGUAGCGAAAGUUACGUUAAUACCGCAUACGUCCUGAGGGAGAAAGCAGGGGAUCGCAAGACCUUGCGCGAUUAGAGUGGCCGAUGGCUGAUUAGCUAGUUGGUGGGGUAAAGGCCUACCAAGGCGACGAUCAGUAGCGGGUCUGAGAGGAUGAUCCGCCACACUGGAACUGAGACACGGUCCAGACUCCUACGGGAGGCAGCAGUGGGGAAUUUUGGACAAUGGGGGCAACCCUGAUCCAGCCAUUCCGCGUGAGUGAAGAAGGCCUUCGGGUUGUAAAGCUCUUUCAGCGGGAACGAAACGGUGCGCUCCAACAUAGCGUAUUAAUGACGGUACCCGCAGAAGAAGCACCGGCUAACUACGUGCCAGCAGCCGCGGUAAUACGUAGGGUGCGAGCGUUAAUCGGAAUUACUGGGCGUAAAGCGUGCGCAGGCGGAUUGUUAAGCAAGAUGUGAAAUCCCCGGGCUUAACCUGGGAAUGGCAUUUUGAACUGGCAAUCUAGAGUGUGUCAGAGGGGGGUAGAAUUCCACGUGUAGCAGUGAAAUGCGUAGAGAUGUGGAGGAAUACCGAUGGCGAAGGCAGCCCCCUGGGAUAACACUGACGCUCAUGUACGAAAGCGUGGGUAGCAAAUAGGAUUAGAUACCCUGGUAGUCG
rnacentral:rRNA from 1 species